rnacentral:misc_RNA from 1 species
GAUGCUGUUGCAGUCACGAAUCGGCGAUAGUAGGCAAAUUUGGUGCGUGCGUUUAUGCGAGUCUCGAAUUACGCACAGAUGGAUCGAGGGGAGCACUAUGCACCAUGGGCAGGCCUCCAGCGCUGUUGGAGCAUAUGAUCGCGUGAGGGUGUGCGCGAGCGUAUUGCCGCUUGCUUCGCUGCUGCCAUCGACUGAAAUGCCAAAAGGAAGCAACUGGGCGAGACUAGCGUUGUGUGCUUUUCUCUGUCGGAUGCACGGAAGCAGCGUUCGACAAAGAUGUCGAGCGUGCGUCGUUGAGUUCCGUCCAUGGGCGUUAUUGUCGUGUUCACUAUCGGUGGACACCAUGACAUCGUUCGAUGCUUUUUGAGAAGCACUGCAUUCGGCGUGCUCACGGACUGCCUUAUUGUACCGUGUGUCGGAUCGUGGGAGCAUCUUGGUGGUGGACUACUUGUGCACACAAUAGAUCAUAUGCAAUGAUCCAUGUUACUGGGAUACGAACGCCACGGGCGCUCCAUCCACGGGUCCAGCCGAAUGCGCGACCAUCGCUCCAAAGCGCGACCCUGGGUCCGACUUCCGAUGCGUCCUCUGGCCGAGCAUCGACGCGUGCAUUAUAUGGAGACGCGCUUGCCCGGCAAGAUCCACAUUAAACGUCUCGAGUCGAAUGGGUACUCGCGUCUCAUGAGCCGCGGCUCCUGCAGGUUCAUUUCGAAGCGCCGUGCAACUUUGGCGACCUUCCGGAUGUGCGCAAGCUCGAUAAAGGUCAGAUGCAUCCAUGUGCUAUGCCGCGAGCGCUUCAGCUUCAUGUUGAAGCACCAACGGAAUUUUGCGACCUUUCCUCCGAGCGUCUCAAGUAUGCACUCACAUAGAUUCGUACGCUGCAACGUCUUGAACAAAAACCGUCCGUCGGGCGCGCUCCACUUCAUCCGGUGGGAACGCAUCCAGAUACGCCUGUAAACGCUGCUUUGCAGCUUUCACGGACUCGAUCGCAAAAGAACGCAUUUCGAGGGUCGGCACUUUUGAAACGGGGUUGUAGUACGCGGUCACCUGACUCAGGUACUCGAGAGCAUCGAGUCCUUCGCGUAAUGCGGCAUCGCGAAUAGGUCCCGCUGGCAGUCGGCCGUUUGCGGCGGACUUGAUACUCUGCUUCAAGUUGCUCUGCUUGACGAUGAUGCGAAUCGUUUGGCGCAGGCUGCGAGUGUCUUGGGACUGCUCGAUGAGCCUCACAAGCUCGUCCAACGCGUCGUAGGCCCUGCAGACUUGUACGAGUGCAGCCUCUGGCGCAGUUGCUGCACUCGCUACCUGACAGCGUGAACUUCCUAGAACGGAAAUCAGGCUCAGGGAAGCGAAGGCAAAGUCUCGGCAGAAACGCCUUCGCGUGAAGGUCUGCCCCGAGGCGGCGCACCGAGCGACUAGUGCGCUGCUCCGUCUCGACCGCGAGCGGUCACCGCUCGAGUGACACCAGCAAGCCGCGGAGGUCUGAGUGCCCGCAUUCAGCACUUCACGACCAAAUGGGAGCGUUCCAGCAAUGAAAGCCAUGGAAGACCCCGUGCUCCCGAACCGUUCGAUCCGAGCGACGCAUGAAAGCGUACUCGAGUCAGGCACUCGAUGCAAACCGGUAGUCGAGCGCAGCGCGGCAUUGGGGCCGGCCGUCGGCGUUCGCAGUCGGCCUCUAUGCCAGUUUCGUUUCGAGGCAUCGGCGGUUUGCUGGUAUUCAAGACCGGACUUGAAGUCAUGAUGCGGUAGAAGGUAUCGAGGGAAUGUCGUAAAAAGAGCAGACUGAGCCAAUCUGAAUAAGUACGUGGGGCCUCAGUCUACUUGGGCACCGCGCCGAUCCAGAUUAUCGACUAAAGAUGCAGGGGGCACGCGGGCACCCGCACAGCCAUCAUCGAUACCUGGCUGUGUGUGAUCGCUUGCUGUUCGGUACGUCCGGGGGACUGGCGAAGACAAGGUUCAUUUCAUGUGCUGUCGUGGUUUAGACGGUACCAGGUGAUCUGCGAAACCAAAUCGGUGGAUGUCGGUUCAUCGCAUCCAGGAUGGCCCCUAAACG